AUGCUUCCCUGGUGCCGAGGCCUCGUUGACCACCAAGGACGGGCCUCAAGGGUGAGGCGCGGGCAUUGCACUGCGCUCGCGUUGAGCCCUGCCACUACCACAAAGUGGGGCAGAUGGGGCAUUCAGAUUGC
rnacentral:snRNA from 1 species